UGGAGACUGGUUGGCUUGAGUGCGGAAGAGGUAAGUGGAAUUCCCAGUGUAGCGGUGAAAUGCGUAGAGAUUGGGAGGAACACCAGUGGCGAAGGCGACUUACUGGGCCGUAACUGACGCUGAGGCGCGAAAGCGUGGGGAGCGAACAGGAUUAGAUACCCUGGUAGUCCACGCUGUAAACGAUGAAUGCUAGGUGUUGCGGGUAUCGACCCCUGCAGUGCCGGAGUAAACGCAAUAAGCAUUCCGCCUGGGGAGUACGGCCGCAAGGUUGAAACUCAAAGGAAUUGACGGGGGCCCGCACAAGCAGCGGAGCAUGUUGUUUAAUUUGAAGCAACGCGAAGAACCUUACCAUGUCUUGACAUCGAGGUAAAGCCGUAGAGAUACGGUGUGGAUUCGUCCGACCGAAGACAGGUGGUGCAUGGUUGUCGUCAGCUCGUGUCGUGAGAUGUUGGGUUAAGUCCCGCAACGAGCGCAAC
rnacentral:rRNA from 1 species